AUAUCGGAACGUAUCCAAUAAUGGGGGAUAACGAGUCGAAAGAUUCGCUAAUACCGCAUACGCCCUACGGGGGAAAGCAGGGGAUCGUAAGACCUUGCGUUAAUGGAGCGGCCGAUAUCUGAUUAGCUUGUUGGUGAGGUAAAGGCUCACCAAGGCGACGAUCAGUAGCUGGUUUGAGAGAACGACCAGCCACACUGGAACUGAGACACGGUCCAGACUCCUACGGGAGGCAGCAGUGGGGAAUUUUGGACAAUGGGGGCAACCCUGAUCCAGCCAUUCCGCGUGAGUGAAGAAGGCCUUCGGGUUGUAAAGCUCUUUCGCAAGGGAAGAAAACUUAUGAUCGAAUAAAUCAUGAGGUUGACGGUACCUUGAUAAGAAGCACCGGCUAACUACGUGCCAGCAGCCGCGGUAAUACGUAGGGUGCGAGCGUUAAUCGGAAUUACUGGGCGUAAAGCGUGCGCAGGCGGUUUUGUAAGUCGGAUGUGAAAUCCCCGGGCUCAACCUGGGAACUGCGUUCGAAACUGCAAGGCUAGAGUGUGUCAGAGGGGGGUAGAAUUCCACGUGUAGCAGUGAAAUGCGUAGAGAUGUGGAGGAAUACCAAUGGCGAAGGCAGCCCCCUGGGAUAACACUGACGCUCAUGCACGAAAGCGUGGGGAGCAAACAGGAUUAGAUACCCUGGUAGUCCACGCCCUAAACGAUGUCAACUAGUUGUUGGUAGAG
rnacentral:rRNA from 1 species